UAGGGCAGUGGAUAAGCGCCGAUAAUAUAGCUGGAUCAACUGGAUAUCAGCGCUGCACAGGGGAUUUUGAUUCCCCCAUUCCCUGGUUCGAAUCCAGGCGCCCCAGCCA
rnacentral:tRNA from 1 species